rnacentral:tRNA from 1 species
CGGGCUGGGGUGCACGGUUGACACUAUUGACCAAUGCGAGUCAAGGGGUCGCAGGUUCGAAUCCUGUCAGCCCGA